rnacentral:rRNA from 1 species
AUGGUCAAGUGAAUAAGAGCAUAAGGCGGAUGCCUUGGCACUGGGAGCCGAUGAAGGACGUGACAAGCUGCGAUAAGCUACGGGGAGGAGCACAUAUCCGUCAAUCCGUAGAUUUCCGAAUGGGGGAACCCACCUAUAGUAAUGUGUAGGUAUUUUCGUAUGAAUCUAUAGUACGAAUAAAGGCAACCCGGGGAACUGAAACAUCUAAGUACCCGGAGGAAGAGAAAGAAAAAUCGAUUUCCUAAGUAGCGGCGAGCGAAAGGGAAAGAGGCCAAACCGUAAGUUUACUAACGGGGUUGUGGAUCACAGCCGUGGUAGAUACAAGUUUAGCAGAAGACAACUGGAAAGUUUGCGACAUAGAGGGU